rnacentral:rRNA from 1 species
CGUGUAGGCGGUCUAGCAAGUCGGAUGUGAAAGCCCUUGGCUCAACUGAGGAAGUGCAUUCGAAACUGCAAGACUUGAGUCCCGGAGAGGAUGGUGGAAUUCUCGGUGUAGAGGUGAAAUUCGUAGAUAUCGAGAGGAACACCGGUGGCGAAGGCGGCCAUCUGGACGGUGACUGACGCUGAGACGCGAAAGCAUGGGGAGCAAACA